rnacentral:rRNA from 1 species
AUGUGGAGGAUGAUGGAGAUCUUGGGCUCCACGACCUGCCCGGCCACCGCCUCCACCUCGAAGUUCCUCACCACGGCGGCCGCCACCGCCUUGAGCUGCACCAACGCCAUGUCCUUGCCGAGGCACGUCCGCGGGCCGGAGUUGAAGGACACGAACUUGUACGACGGCACGUACCGCGGCUUGCCGUCCUCCCCGAUCCACCGCUCCGGCCGGAACUCCCGGCAGUCCUUGCCCCACACCGCCUCCAUCCUCCCCAUCGCGUACAGCGACACCAUCACCUUCUCCCCCGGCCGCACCUCGUGCCCGCUCGGCAGCGCCUCAGCGGCCACCACGCCCUUGUGCUCCAUCGGCACCGGCGGGUACAGCCGGAGCGACUCGCACAGCGCCGCGUGCAGGUACACCAGCCGCCCCAGCUCGUCCGGGUCGUAG